CACACAAGUGUGUGUGUCUGGAUUGAUACAAGCACAGGGCGACCAGGAGAAAACCCCCACAACCCUAGUUCACACUUAGUCUCUCAAAUUGAAGAUCAAAAUCCGUUCUAAAUCAAAAUCCGAGCACGGAAUAGUGAUCCCCACUGAAAAAGGAGUCAUAAGGAAAGGAAGCCGGAGCGUCUAGUGGACAAGCCAGUGGUGAAGCACGAUUGAAGGGUUUGCUUUGAAGGUC